GGAAGUAAAAAAUCGUAACAAGGUUUCCGUAGGUGAACCUGCGGAAGGAUCAUUACCGAGUGAGGGCCCUCUGGGUCCAACCUCCCACCCGUGUUUAUCGUACCUUGUUGCUUCGGCGGGCCCGCCUAUUCUGGCCGCCGGGGGGCAUCCGCCCCCGGGCCCGCGCCCGCCGAAGACACAUUGAACGCUGUCUGAAGAUUGCAGUCUGAGCACUUAGCUAAAUCAGUUAAAACUUUCAACAACGGAUCUCUUGGUUCCGGCAUCGAUGAAGAACGCAGCGAAAUGCGAUAAGUAAUGUGAAUUGCAGAAUUCAGUGAAUCAUCGAGUCUUUGAACGCACAUUGCGCCCCCUGGUAUUCCGGGGGGCAUGCCUGUCCGAGCGUCAUUGCUGCCCUCAAGCACGGCUUGUGUGUUGGGCUCUCGCCCCCCUUCCCGGGGGGGCGGGCCCGAAAGGCAGCGGCGGCACCGCGUCCGGUCCUCGAGCGUAUGGGGCUUCGUCACCCGCUCUGUAGGCCCGGCCGGCGCCCGCCGGCGACCCCAAUCAAUCUUCCAGGUGACCUCGGAUCAGGUGGAACCC
rnacentral:rRNA from 1 species